rnacentral:pre_miRNA from 1 species
AUGUAGGACAAUCUGUCUUUCGGUAGGGAUAAAUUACCCUAAAACAAAAGAAUCCUAGAUAGUUUUCCCUUCAAGUCAAGCAUCUUGU